rnacentral:tRNA from 1 species
AAUCCAAUAGCUUAAAAAAAGCUUUAGACUUUUAAUCUGAAAAUGAAAAUAUUUCUUGGGUUG